GAUGAACGCUGGCGGCGUGCUUAACACAUGCAAGUCGAACGGAAAGGCCUCUAGCUUGCUGGGGGUGCUCGAGUGGCGAACGGGUGAGUAACACGUGGGUGAUCUGCCCUGCACUUUGGGAUAAGCUUGGGAAACUGGGUCUAAUACCGAAUAUGACCAUUGUUUGGAUGCGAUGGUGGAAAGCUUUUGCGGUGUGGGAUGAGCCUGCGGCCUAUCAGCUUGUUGGUGGGGUAAUGGCCUACCAAGGCGGCGACGGGUAUCCGGCCUGAGAGGGUGUACGGACACAUUGGGACUGAGAUACGGCCCAGACUCCUACGGGAGGCAGCAGUGGGGAAUAUUGCACAAUGGGCGCAAGCCUGAUGCAGCGACGCCGCGUGGGGGAUGAC
rnacentral:rRNA from 1 species